AUGGGGUCUGGUGAACGGCCUUUGAUGUCGCUGUGUGCCGCGUAGCCAGAAAUCGGCUAUCUAAAGACCGGUCUUUGUUUCUUAAACGCUUCACUAAAGACGAGACUGGUAUGCACGCAGUGCAAUCCUAUCUCAUUGGCUUCUCUUGUUUCGUAGAGAACAACUCGAAGACUACAGCUAGAGUCGUUGCUGUUUGUGAAAUCUGCAUGUUUACAGCAGCGAUUAAACACGGCUGCGGGAACGUUGACGUCGACAGGCUUCUAUUUCAUGCAGACAUGAUCGACGUCGUACGAUCUAGCGUUGUGCGCUCGUGUCACAACGGAGACUGAAUGCGAACGUACUCGGUGCUGUUUGCUGUUUGCUGUUUUUGACGUCUAAAGCGACCACAGACAGUCCAGAGUGAGCGAUAUCUGGAAGGGCUUGGAGCUGCAUGACGUCAUCGAAACAAGAUGAGUCGUCUUUCUGUGUUUGGGUAAUCAUUUCAUGUGUUUUGUACAUUGCUUUGGUGAACACAUACAGUAGCAACCAGGAAGAGACCACGUUGACAGAAAAGCUGGACGUCCCAAGGUGUGUAACUUCCAGAGUAUGUGGAGCUUAAGGGAGACUACUUCCAUCCAAUUGUUUUCUCUUGCUCAACAAGGUGAUAGCAUCUGGUGGUUUCAUCAAACACAAAACGCUACAUGAUCUAGAAUUUUAGACAGUUAUUACAACAUGCAGUUAUUUAUUUCACUGGAAGGUCAAAGGUACAGCAGUUACCACAGUCACAACGAAGUACACAAAUAUCACAACAACCACAUCCUUUUCCUGCACUGUCUUCACUACCAGCAAAUAAAAAAUCAGCAAAUAAGCACUUCAUAAGACAAGUUGUAAAAUUUUGUCCAUACUUCUUCAUCGAGGAUGAAACUGUCCUGUGCAGAUGUCCAUAUACAAGCAGUGCAGUUGCUGUCAAGCCAUCCCUUCCAGCUCGCUCAGUCUCUUGGACAUAAUCUUCAAUGAGUCUUAGAGGACUCCAAUGAACAAUCCACCUAAUGUUGGGAAUGUCAACACCCGUCCCAAAUGCUGUUGUAGCUAUCAGAACUCUCAAUGUGCUGUCUACUUUACUAAAUGACAUCAAAAAUUUUUCUUUCAUCUCGACUGUGGAGGCACUCGAAUACAUAUCAACUAGACAAAAUUCUUGCAAAUCAAUACAAUCUGAUGGAAACGUAAAGUGGAAUCCCAACUUUGAUCUGAGCAGAAGAUACAGCGACCAACAGUUGCCGUAUUUAGUACAAAAGAUUUAGUAAAAAAACUCUAGACUAGCUAUGUACUACCCUAUAUGUAUAUCUAUGAAUUAAUACAUGAUGAUCAUGCAGUAUACGCAUGCAGUGUUGAUCGUUACGUAAAGGUUACUCAGGACCAGGCAGAUAUCAUAUAAUGUAAGUAGU